GCACCGGGCUGGCGCUCUACGUGGCCGGACUCAACGCGCUGCUGCUGCUACUCUACCGGCCGCCGCGCUACCAGGUGCGGGCUGAGUGCGGAGGGACCGGGACCGGGCGGGCGGGACCGGUGGACCGGUUGACCCGGACACGGACCAGGCACAGGGCGGGACGGACAGGGUGGACCGGUAGACCGGGACUCCAGACCCGGAUCAGGGUCGGGGUGGACCGGUAGACCUGGACAGGGACGGACGGGUGGACCAGGACCAGGCGGGCUUCGGGCCGGGUGGGCGGAGUAGGUGCGGACCAGGCAGGACAGAGCUAGCUGGCUGCGCCGGAGCAGGGCGAGCCGAGUCCACUGGAGCUGGAGACGAGGCAGAUGAGCCGGGGUCGACGGGAAUCAGGGACCGAUCAGUCAGGGAUGGGGCAGGAUAGCCAUCAGAGCUUGUUUCCUUGGCUUUGUGUUUGGCUGUGGUGUGCUGCUAAGUUUCAGCCAGUCCUCUUGGAAUCACUUUGGCUGGUCCCGGCUAGUGCUCCCCCCACAGCCAGUGUAGGACUUUCCCCUACACUAUGAGUUCAGUCCCUUGAGCCUUCUAGCCUCUGACUUGGAUAUGAACCGUGGCUUCAAGGUACGUGUGCUCGCUGUCUCUGUUCCACUAUUCUGAGUACUUAGUGACAGCUGUCAAUAACCCCAAAAGUCUGUCCCUGGACUCCUUCCUCCUGAAUCACAGCCUGGAGUACACGGUAGCUGCCCUGUCUUCUUGGAUAGAGUUCACGCUCGAGAACAUCUUCUGGCCAGAACUGAAGCAGAUUACCUGGCUGAGUGCCACCGGGCUCCUGAUGGUGGUCUUCGGAGAAUGCCUGAGGAAAGCUGCCAUGUUUACGGCUGGCUCCAACUUCAACCAUGUGGUGCAGAGUGAAAAGUCAGACACCCACACUCUGGUGACAAGUGGGGUGUAUGCUUGGUGCCGGCACCCCUCCUAUGUGGGCUGGUUUUACUGGAGUAUCGGAACCCAGGUGAUGCUGUGUAAUCCCAUCUGUGGCGUGGUCUAUGCCCUGACGGUGUGGCGCUUCUUCCGAGAUCGCACAGAAGAGGAGGAGAUCUCACUGAUUCACUUUUUUGGGGAAGAGUACUUGGAUUAUAAAAAGAGGGUGCCCACAGGCCUGCCUUUCAUAAAGGGGGUCAAGGUGGAGCUAUGACGGGGUGAGGCCCCGUGGGACCGGGGAACCUCUGGCCCUGCGCAGCCUAGGACAAAACUGUUUCAAGUUGGGCACUGCAGAGUGAGUUUUCUUAAUUGUUUUAUAUGUAACUAAUUACUCCUCAGAACGUCACCCAGGACCUAAUGUUGAGAAGACCUUGGGUCCAAAGGAGCCACGGCAGCCGUCUCCUGCACUGAAGUCAGGUGGAGCAAGGAGUGUGUCAAGGUGGCUCGUCCACACUCUUCCACUGUGGCAGGGUGAUGACCCAAGCCACAGUCCUAUGCCCCCUCAGGCCAGAGUGUGUUUGCACGGUGACCAGGAUGCUCGGGAGAGGUGGACACUGCCCUUUGCAGCACUCAACCCACUGGAGGUGUGGUCAGAGUUGCCGUGCUGAAUAUCAGCAUUGGAAAUGCUUUCAUUUAACCCACAGCACAACCCAGCUUUAACCUUCGUCCGCCCAUAAGUGCAUGAGCAUCUGCAUUAGCUCUGAAGACUUCUGCCCUCGGCUCCUCAUACAUUUAAUCACAUUUACACACCAAUUUUAUAAAAAUAGCAGUGUAGAUUCCAAGGGACUCUGAGCCUCCAUGCCUGGGAGUUUCUAAGUCCAGCUUUUACGUGGCAACAGGUAGCACAGACCCUCAGGGUGCUCUGCAGCUUUUGAGUAGCCAUUGAACCUGGGCUGAGGAUGGGGGCCCUGGGUUCUUCUCAGGUCCUGGCCUUGGCUCAGCUGUACCCCUAGGAAGUAAUGUCCGUGCUCAUUCUGAGAAAUGCUGCCCUCCGUGUGUUUGGGAUUGUUCUUAUUUAUCAUAGCUUGUGUUUUUUGUUUCUGUGUUGCAAUGAGUCUGUCAACUUAGUUUCCUGUGUUUUUUCAAAGUAAGCCACCCUCCUGCUGCAGCAGAUGUCUUCCAGAAGGUUCUAGCACAGCCCAUACAUCUGCGGCCCGAGGCACAUUAACCCUCAGCAGUCCACAGCAGAGGGGCCUCGCUGAGUUUCCUUAGCAUCUUUGUUCUGCUGGUCUGGAAGAACCUUUGGCUCUCUCUGUGUUGCGCACAAAAGCUUUGAGAGGUGUAGCUCUUGAUUAAUCCUGGACUGGGCAAGAGCCUGGUCCUGCUGUGAGGCCCUUGCAGAUUUGGUGUGGUUUGCUGUCCUCAGAGCUCCUACUCUGAGAUGUAGAAGUCUUAGUCUGCCAUUCAUGAGCACAGAGUCAUGGGUGGAGAAUCCUGAGUGUCUCAGCUCACACCCAGCGCUUAUAAAGGCGUGCUGUGCUGCGAGGCUGAGGAUCGUGUACCGCGCCUUCCCUGCCAGCUCCAGCAGAAUCCAGAUCAGCCUACAUAGUGCUCUGUGCCGCAGCCAGGUCCUCUCAGACUUGAGAAAACCCUUUUCCUUCUCCCCUGUUCCACUGAGCAGACCCUGCUGGGUUGCAAGUUUAGUGUUCCUGGCCUUCAGACAUGUGGUCACCCUUGAGUACAGCUCCAUCUUCCUCAGAAGACCUCCUUCCUUCACAAGAGCACCGCUGCACAGCAGCACACUUGGUACAUCAGGUCAGACAAGCCCAGGCCCCAACAGUGGCCAUGGUGUUGCUAAGCACACUGGCAGCUUGCUGUACAUAGGCCAGGUCUCCAGCAGGGUACCAAAGCGGGCUUGGUAAUUAAUGCCAAGCUGGAAUUCAGCAGAACAUAAGUGCUCAUGAGUUCUGACUUAGGGCUUCGUGUUGGCAGUGGCAGCAUUGGCGUCUUCAGGAACAAUGUGACAGUUGUGCCCCGAUGGGGGGUGCUGACUUUGGCCACUCACAGUUGGCUGGCUGAAGCAGGACUGCUGUUCUGUGCCACACACAGCAAACUGCUGCUGCUGCUGGGCAUAUUCAGCUGCCGGGUCUGCAGGUCUGUCCCACCAGUACUCAGAGGUCCCUGGGAAGGAAGCCGGGAUGGAGGGUGUGGCUCUGGCCAAGAGGAUGGUGAAGGUUAAUAUGAAGGUUAAUAUGAGUGAGUGCUCAAUAUUGAGAUACUGUAGGACCUUGUCAGGCUGGAGAGAACAGGCAAGUGGCUGGUUCUGUGUUGUAAUGCAGCCAGAGUUGACAGAACCUCGGGGGCUGGGUAAAUGAAUUCUAGCUUAUUCUUGACAUAAUAGACAGGCAUUCUAUCAGCAGGGAGGUGACCCCAGUACCAGUUCCUCCACCAAAACUGUGAGAUUCCAGAAGCCUCAAAGACGUGUGCCCUGGUUUGUAGUAAGCCAGGGAAGGCUCCAGGAGAGCCUCAGGCCAGUCCAGCUGGAAGUGUUCCCCGGGCCACCCGGCCCAUCGCCUCUGCAGCCAGGACUCCACGAUCACUUCCAAACUGCAGUGGUGCUGACCAAGGGUGAAGGUGGGGAUGUGGCCAGAGCACUGCUAAUUACCACGCCCUCCUGUGCUUGGGCCUCCCAUCAGGGUCAGGAUGGCCUCCCUCACAGGGGUGUUAUGGGAAGAUGAGCUGGGUGGCAUAAUGAAAUCUUAGGAUGAGAACCGGGUUUCUGUGUGUUAGAAAGCAGUGUGUGCUAACAUGUGUCCAAAAAAACAUUCUGCCAGCUCGCAAGUAAUUUAUUUUUAGAUUUUAUGGCUUAAUUUUGUUGUUGUUGUUGUUGUUCUAUAUACCAAAGAGGCUUACGGGUUUGCCAGUUACAGUGUGAGGCCAGUUAGUUGGCUCGGAAGCCGCCAGCCUUCGGGACCUGAGGCUUGCAGGCUCCGUGGCAGCCAUGGCUGUUGUCCACACCAAACUGCCCAGGAAUAAGUAUGGUGAUAUGAGUGGAGACAGUCCACACUUCCCAUAGCCAGUCCCACUCGCUAGGCUGCAAACGGGAGGAAAUGGAUUUGUGGCAUCAUCCCCAGCUCUUUAUCAGUGCAUCUAAACUGAGCUGGCUCCAGCCUCCUAGUCCCCUUGAGGGCCGUGAAGUUGUCUUUUUGAUGGAUGGGGAGUGGCUAAUGGCAGCCCUUGGCAUUGCGGGCAGUAAGGCAAAAUGUUGGCAUUGGAUGUUACCCUCCACCUGCCAGAGGCCAGAGAGAGGGAGCCCAGGCCUUGGGACUCUUGGUGAGAUGCUGGAUUGCAUCCUAGGAGACGGGAGGCUACGUUCCAGGGAUGUGGGUGGAGGAAGAUCAGGCCACCCUUCUGACAUUCCCAGGAUGGCAGUCAGCAUUUCACCAGGGACUAUGAGCAUCAUCCCGGCAGGAUCUGGCAGGUGGCUGUUCUCUGCUGCCGUGGACUGGAGAUUAUUUUACCUCUAUGGAUGUAGCCGUAACCGGGGGCAGCAGAAUUGGCUUGCCGAGGCUUUCAGGUAUUAUAAGGGCAGCCAUGUCCUAGGGUUUCCACAGAUGGAGGAGUUGUCAGGAGAUUGGUUUGUCUGCUUGCAGGCUUCGGAGUGGAGGUUUCUGUGUGGAGAGCCGGUACCUUACAGAAAAUAGGCGACUUGGCAGUCAUGGGGCAGGGAGCAUUCAGGAGGCCCUGUGGCUGCUACAAGCCGGUGUGGCAGGGCAGAAAGCUUAACAGCGGUGUCCUUGGUGGGAGCUGCUGCUUGGACCUAGGGUGUCUGUCGCCUUACCAAUUCUUCCCACUUAGUUGCUAACUUGGGGCCACUCAGCCUGAGGGCUCAGCCAAAGCUCCUGGGUUGCCUCCUCUGCAUUCUCCCCUGCCUUAGGUAUCUGCUGCGGCAAGGUAGAGCCCUCAGCCUCCCGAUGGGCAGGGCAGGCAGCUGCGUGGCUGUGAAGCUUGUCCCUCACUGUCCUGAGAGGAGGCAGCCUGUCUGACCCACUGCAAGGAGGACUAUGGAGUGAUCACUGUACUCUUCUUUUUACAUACAGAAAUGUUUAUUUAAAUAUAUUAAAUUGGAUUUUCUUUCACAGAUACUGAAUAUUCUUUCUAAUUCUUAAAUAAAACUGUACUUGGUUUCACU